GCGGCGGACGCCCGGGCCGCCCCAACGCCGCUGCGCGGUGGAGACCGCGGUGGAACCCGUCCUUGCCAGGGUGGGCUCGCCGGGCCCCAAAGGAGAGGUUUUGUUCAUAGUCAGCAUUGAUUUUUCAGCCAGGCUGUUCUGAAAGGUCCACAGUCCUUCGUUAAGUAGUGAGCACUUCGGGAGGCUGAGGCAGGAGGAUCGCCUGAGCCCGGGAGUUCGAGACCAGCCUGGGCAGCAUAGCAUUGGUCUGGCAUCUGUGGUCAUCGAGUCAUAUUUGAAUGUCUACUACAUCAUCAUCCUUGCCUGGGCUCUCUUCUACCUGUUCAGCUCCUUCACUUCUGAGCUGCCCUGGACGACCUGCAACAACUUUUGGAACACAGGAGACGAGUUCUGGGCAUCACCUCGGGCAUCCAUGACCUGGGCUCCCUGCGCUGGGAGCUGGCCCUGUGCCUCCUGCUCGCCUGGGUCAUCUGCUAUUUCUGCAUCUGGAAGGGGGUCAAGUCCACAGGCAAGGUGGUUUAUUUCACAGCCACGUUUCCGUACCUGAUGCUUGUCAUUUUGCUGAUCAGAGGUGUCACCCUUCCCGGAGCCUACCAGGGCAUCAUCUACUACUUGAAGCCAGAUUUGUUCCGCCUCAAGGACCCUCAGGUGUGGAUGGAUGCGGGCACCCAGAUCUUCUUCUCCUUUGCCAUCUGCCAGGGGUGCCUGACAGCCCUGGGCAGCUACAACAAGUAUCACAAC
rnacentral:lncRNA from 1 species